AUAAAGUUCAAAAUUUUAAUUACCAUAAUCAUGUUAAGUUUGCAUUUGGACUCAAAGGAGACAAAAUAGAAGAAAACGAUAGUGGAAUUUCAUCUGAUCUUCUUUUAGGACCAGCAGGAUGACACUCCCAAGAAGAACUGGAAUGCAGCAGGAAUGAUGAAGGUGAUGCCGUUUGGAAGUCGUUUGUUUGCCUCAUCAUUUGCAGUGGGAUGAGGUCAAGUUUUCCUUCUUAGGAAGUAUUGCAGAACAACACCGUGUACAGCAAAUAAAUGCAUGGAACAGGCACCUGCGGCUGACAGCAGUUAAACAGCUGCAAACAGACAGCUCCAGCUCUCCGUGCAUCCCUAUCAGCUCCUUCCCUGCAGCGCCAUUCCUCCCAAGUCCCCUGUUACGUCAUUAGUUAAUCCACUCGCAGUGUGUCACUGCAGCUCAGGCUAUAACAUCUUUGGGGAAUGGGCAGUUGUUCGAGCAUAUGCUGUCCAUUGAAAGUCCUUUACAGGUGACUGAAAUAUAAGCACCAAGAUGCCCAGAUUGCUCUCAUAUGACAAGCUUAAUUUGGUGAUCUGAAGGAAACAAUGGAAUCACCAUAUAAAAUACAACUGCAUAAAUCAGUAAUAUACUGUAAGGAAUUAUUCUAAAUGGACUGGGAAGUUGUAGGUUCAUGAGGUGCCAGCAUUGGAGGAUUCACUUUAGGAAAUACUUCAUUGGAAAAAUUGAAUUUGGAAACAGGCUAUUAUGGCUAAAUAAUGGGCUCUGGACCAGACAUGAUGGACCCGCCUCUGUUAACUCUCACCUCUAGCAGGACUUGUGCAGCUCAUUAAGAAGGUUUUAAUGCAAUGACACAUGCUGGUAAUACUGUACAGACAUGGAAAUGUAUGAAAGAUUAAUUCUAUAAAAUAUCCCAUAGGCAUAGACUGAAGACGGCUAAAAUUAAUCUGCCAAAUACUAGUAAUUAUCUUUUAUAGUCUGUCAAAACUUGUACUUGCAAGUUUGUAUAAAUCUUUGUCGUGGCACUUUCUUCCUCAGCCACAGUUGAGCAUAUGGAGGUUUAAAAGGACUGAGCCUGAGUCAACUGCACAACGGAUGUGUCUUGCCAAAGCUUCUUAAAACAAGCAUUUAAGAUCAUUUUACUUGUUAUAUGUAUGUUCCGCUCCCAAAGCCUGGAUUAUCCAGUCCAGCCCUGGUUCCUGGGGGGGGUUUGUAGCCCGUCCAAUGGUCCUGAUCAUCAGGUGCAGACACCCUCCCUUGAGGGCACACCAGGCUUUCAUCCAAACAUGGAUUAGGUGUGACCAACACCUGGCAGAGGUGGUGCUGGAAAGCCUUCCUCUCCCUCAGCACACCCAUAGGAGAUUGAGGAAGAUGGGGAGUUUUGAUCCCUCAGAACAGGAAGGGAACAUAACACCUGAAAGACUUUGCACUCUUGCUGAGAAACACAGCCUUGGGGUAUGUAUCAGAUACUUUUUGUUAACUGUGUUAUUAAUUGUGUUUGCAUUUGAGAGAUGUUCCUUGUCUUCAUGUGCACUAGUGCCCUCCUACAAUAAGAGAGGCUUUCACUCUGCCCUGUUGGGGUGAAUGCUACUGAUAAUGUUGAUAGUAGAGCGUCUUUUUUCCUUCAUAGUCCUUCACCUUGUAGUCUUGGGCAAGGUAAGAAUCUUAGGCUGAAACACUUUUUUGCUUUCUCCCCCCUUUUGAAACUUUUAUUUUAAGAGAAAGCAUUCUCUCAUUCUUGUGAGUGUAGAAAAAAAAUGCAUUAGACACCUCAAGACUUUAAAACCAGAGCACAAUUUAUUACUUUUGAACCAAUUUAAUAAUUUUUUUUUUUGCUUGAAUAGUAAAUGCUUUGACUGUGCAAUUCUGAAAGAUACCCUUCAUUCCUCUGUUUAUCUGUGUUCAGCUGGAGGUGGAAGGAAUAAUCUAAUUCUUAGUCAAAAAUUGGAAGCAAGUUAUUUUCUUUAAUAUCAUCUGUUGUUCUUCCAUGAUCUGUG